UACGUAGGGGGCAAGCGUUGUCCGGAAUUAUUGGGCGUAAAGAGCUCGUAGGCGGUCUGUCGCGUCUGCUGUGAAAACUCAGGGCUUAACCCUGAGCUUGCAGUGGGUACGGGCAGACUAGAGUGCGGUAGGGGAGACUGGAAUUCCUGGUGUAGCGGUGAAAUGCGCAGAUAUCAGGAGGAACACCGAUGGCGAAGGCAGGUCUCUGGGCCAUAACUGACGCUGAGAAGCGAAAGCAUGGGGAGCGAACAGG
rnacentral:rRNA from 1 species